UACGUAGGUGACCAGCGUUGUCCGGAUUUACUGGGCGUAAAGAGCGCGCAGGCGGUCGUUCAAGUCGAGUGUGAAAGCCCCCGGCUCAACUGGGGAGGGUCACUCGAUACUGAUCGACUUGAAGGCAGGAGAGGGAAGCGGAAUUCCCGGUGUAGUGGUGAAAUGCGUAGAUAUCGGGAGGAACACCAGUGGCGAAGGCGGCUUCCUGGCCUGUUCUUGACGCUGAGGCGCGAAGCUAGGGGAGCAAAACGGG
rnacentral:rRNA from 1 species